ensembl:lncRNA
GUUUGGGAUCCUUUUCAGAACCUAUAGAAGAGAAAGAAUUGAAUCAAGGUGUGGUCUGCCCUUAACCCCAGCCGUCAGGAGGCCAAGCAGGCAAAUCUCUUGGAGUUCAAGGCCAGCCAUAGCUACGGAGUGAAACUCUGUCAAGAUAGAAUGAAAGAGGGGAAAGGGAAGGAAGGAGGGAUAUGCCCCUCCCCAUUCCUAUCUUCCUGAGGUCAUGUGUGUAGUUUCUGACAAGCCCCCAAGGCAGGCACUAUUACUAUAUCUACUUUAGAAAUGAGGAUCCUGGGAAGUUAGAGACGUUUCCUCUUUUGAAAGGAUUCCUAAAGAGAAGCUAGGAAGACUAUAAGAGCCAGAGAUAAGGAGGAUUGGAGCAAAAUAGUCUUCUGGAGAGGAUAGCCCAGUUAUUGCACUCAGGAAUGCACAGCUGCUGUGCUUGGCUGCACGAGAUCAAGCCAGUGAACGCUGCAGCAUGGAGUGUUGCGGUGGCUUGACUAUGUUUGGCCCAGGAAGUAGCACUAUUAGGAGGUGUGAUCCUGUUGGAGUAGGUGUGGAGUAGGUUGCAAGAAGUGUGUCACUGUGGGGGUGGGCAGUGAGACCCUCCUCCUAGCUGUCUGAAGUCAGUCUUCUGUUUGCCUUCAAAACAAGAUGUAGAACUCUUAGCUCCUCCAGUGCCAGGCCUACCUGGAUGCUGCUGUGCUUCCUGCCAUGAUGAUAAUCUGCCGAACUUCUGGACAUAUACCAACAAGAUACCUAGAACUCUCAGCUCCUCCAAUGCCAUGCCUACUUGGAUGCUGCCAUGCUUCCCACCAUGAUGAUAAUAGACUGAAGACAAACUAAGACAAGCAGGGAAGGUUUGCUCCUGACUGAGAAGCCAUGGUCAGCUGACAGUGUUGCAAGGAGGAGGAGUCGGUCUUAUUUAUGAGUAUAGCCUCUGUAAGUCAAACCAUGUUCCAGAGGAUGGCCCCACCCAAGAGUACAACACAAAUUGAACCUGGCAGGUUAUUUUUAAGAGGGGCGGGGCAUGAAGUUGAAAGUGGGUAGUUAAGUGGGGAAAGAAUCUGGGAAGAGC